rnacentral:rRNA from 1 species
CACGUAGGGUGCGAGCGUUGUCCGGAAUUAUUGGGCGUAAAGAGCUCGUAGGCGGUCUGUCGCGUCGGAUGUGAAAAGCCCGGGGCUUAACCCCGGGUCUGCAUUCGAUACGGGCAGACUAGAGUGUGGUAGGGGGAGAUGAAUUCCUGGUGUAGCGGUGAAAAUGCGCAGAUAUCAGGAGGAACACCGGUGGCGAAGGCGGAUCUCUGGGGCCAUUACUGACGCUGAGGAGCGAAAAGCGUGGGGGAGCGAACAGG